UUGAUGGCGACCGGCGCACGGGUGCGUAACACGUAUAGAACCUACCCAUAACAGGGGGAUAGCCCAGAGAAAUUUGGAUUACUACCCCAUAGUGUAUUAAUGAGGCAUCUCAUUUUUAUUAAAGAUUUAUCGGUUAUGGAUGGCUAUGCGUCCUAUUAGUUUGUUGGUGAGGUAAUGGCUCACCAAGGCUACGAUAGGUAGGGGUUCUGAGAGGAAUGUCCCCCACACUGGUACUGAGACACGGACCAGACUCCUACGGGAGGCAGCAGUGAGGAAUAUUGGACAAUGGGCGCAAGCCUGAUCCAGCCAUGCCGCGUGCAGGAAGAAGGCUUUCUAGUUGUAAACUGCUUUUAUUCACGAGGAAUAUGUCCCUUGCGAGGGAUUUUGACGUUAGUGUUUGAAUAAGCACCGGCUAACUCCGUGCCAGCAGCCGCGGUAAUACGGAGGGUGCAAGCGUUAUCCGGAAUCAUUGGGUUUA
rnacentral:rRNA from 1 species